CCCGCUGAAUUUAGGUAUAUUAUCAACCGGAGGAAAAGAAACUAACAAGGAUUCCUCUAUAGUAAGGGCGAGUGAACGGGGAAGAGCCCAACACCAAAUCCCUUGGCGCAAGUCAACGGGAAAUGUGGUGUUAAGGUAGCCCUUCGUAUCAGUCUAGGCGUCUCAAGUCCACCUGAUUGUGGCUCGAGCCCAGAGAGGGUGUAAGACCCGUAGAGACGGUGUAAGACCCGUACAAACGCUCCGACUGAUUCCUGGGGUUUACCUACGAGUCGGCUUGUUUGGGAAUGCAGGCCAAAGCGGGUGCUAAACUAUCCAAGGCUAAAAAGCUCGUACUGGCACGAGUCCGAUUAGCAGACAAGUACCGUGAGGAAAAGUUGAAAAGAACUUUGAAGAGAGUUCAAUAGUACGUGAAACCGCCAAAAAAGCAAAAAACAAGAAAGAAAAAAGACGUAGAGCCUUUGCCGAAAUGCAGAGAAUCUACGAAAUAAUAGGAAAAGAGCAGCAGAGGCAGUUUUACUGGAAGCUUGGAGAACUUAGGAUGAGGAAGAUACAACUAACAACAGUAUAGAUAAUCAGUCCAAAUUCGACUCGCGAGCUAAUUUCAAAUCCGUCUGGCUCGGACGAUAGAUCUAUUAAACCUAUUAGCGAUCCGAUUACUAGUUUAUGUUGAGGACGCACCUUUUUUCAAUUUUAGAAUCGCGCAUUUUGCUUCGAUGCGCUUUUCCCUACUGUCAGUAGGCGAGCUUAGGAAUUUCUCUCCAUUCUCUCAUCUAGGCUAAGUUCUAUACUAAUUUAUGCCAUUACUAUUAAUUAUGUUAAAUACUCAAUGUACUUCUCUUAGGAUUCUAAUUUUGGAUUGUUUACGCGUCUUUGAAGGU
rnacentral:ncRNA from 1 species